rnacentral:rRNA from 1 species
UACGUAGGGGGCAAGCGUUGUCCGGAAUUAUUGGGCGUAAAGAGCGUGUAGGCGGUCCGGUAAGUCAGCUGUGAAAGUCGAGGGCUCAACCCUCGAAUGCCGGUGGAUACUGUCGGGCUAGAGUGCGGAAGAGGCGAGUGGAAUUCCUGGUGUAGCGGUGAAAUGCGCAGAUAUCAGGAGGAACACCUAUUGCGAAGGCAGCUCGCUGGGACGUUACUGACGCUGAGACGCGAAAGCGUGGGGAGCAAACAGG